GCCUCUGUAGCUCAAUUGAUUAGAGCGUUGCACCAGGGCCGAAGGUUCGAUUCCUGUCAGGGACC